rnacentral:rRNA from 1 species
GCACCGAGAUUCAACAUGGAACGAGUGGCGGACGGGUGAGUAACACGUGGGUAACCUGCCCUUAAGUGGGGGAUAACAUUUGGAAACAGAUGCUAAUACCGCAUAGAUCCAAGAACCGCAKGGUUCUUGGCUGAAAGAUGGCGUAAGCUAUCGCUUUUGGAUGGACCCGCGGCGUAUUAGCUAGUUGGUGAGGUAAUGGCUCACCAAGGCGAUGAUACGUAGCCKAACUGAGAGGUUGAUCGGMCACAUUGGGACUGAGACACGGCCCAAACUCCUACGGGAGGCAGCAGUAGGGAAUCUUCCACAAUGGACGCAAGUCUGAUGGAGCAACGCCGCGUGAGUGAAGAAGGCUUUCGGGUCGUAAAACUCUGUUGUUGGAGAAGAAUGGUCGGCAGAGUAACUGUUGYCGGCGUGACGGUAUCCAACCAGAAAGCCACGGCUAACUACGUGCCAGCAGCCGCGGUAAUACGUAGGUGGCAAGCGUUAUCCGGAUUUAUUGGGCGUAAAGCGAGCGCAGGCGGUUUUUUAAGUCUGAUGUGAAAGCCCUCGGCUUAACCGAGGAAGCGCAUCGGAAACUGGGAAACUUGAGUGCAGAAGAGGACAGUGGAACUCCAUGUGUAGCGGUGAAAUGCGUAGAUAUAUGGAAGAACACCAGUGGCGAAGGCGGCUGUCUGGUCUGUAACUGACGCUGAGGCUCGAAAGCAUGGGUAGCGAACAGGAUUAGAUACCCUGGUAGUCCAUGCCGUAAACGAUGAAUGCUAGGUGUUGGAGGGUUUCCGCCCUUCAGUGCCGCAGCUAACGCAUUAAGCAUUCCGCCUGGGGAGUACGACCGCAAGGUUGAAACUCAAAGGAAUUGACGGGGGCCCGCACAAGCGGUGGAGCAUGUGGUUUAAUUCGAAGCAACGCGAAGAACCUUACCAGGUCUUGACAUCUUUUGAUCACCUGAGAGAUCAGGUUUCCCCUUCGGGGGCAAAAUGACAGGUGGUGCAUGGUUGUCGUCAGCUCGUGUCGUGAGAUGUUGGGUUAAGUCCCGCAACGAGCGCAACCCUUAUGACUAGUUGCCAGCAUUUAGUUGGGCAC